rnacentral:rRNA from 1 species
UACGUAGGGUGCAAGCGUUUAUCCGGAAUUAUUGGGCGUAAAGAGCUCGUAGGCGGUUUGUCGCGUCUGCUGUGAAAACUGGAGGCUCAACCUCCAGCCUGCAGUGGGUACGGGCAGACUAGAGUGAUGUAGGGGAGACUGGAAUUCCUGGUGUAGCAGUGAAAUGCGUAGAUAUCAGGAGGAACACCGAUGGCGAAGGCAGGUCUCUGGGCUGACACUGACGCUCAUGCACGAAAGCGUGGGGAGCAAACAGG